UACAGAGGUCUCAAGCGUUGUUCGGAUUCAUUGGGCGUAAAGGGUGCGUAGGCGGCGCGGUAAGUCGGGUGUGGAAUCUCGGAGCUUAACUCCGAAACUGCAUUCGAUACUGCCGUGCUUGAGGACUGGAGAGGAGACUGGAAUUUACGGUGUAGCGGUGAAAUGCGUAGAUAUCGUAAGGAAGACCAGUGGCGAAGGCGGGGUCUCUGGACAGUUCCUGACGCUGAGGCACGAAGGCCAGGGGGAGCAAACGGG
rnacentral:rRNA from 1 species